rnacentral:rRNA from 1 species
AGUGAACGCUGGCGGCGUGCCUAAUACAUGCAAGUCGAACGGACGAGUAAGAGCUUGCUCUUAUGAGUUAGUGGCGCACGGGUGAGUAAUGUAUAGCUAAUCUGCCCUACACUAGAGGACAACAGUUGGAAACGACUGCUAAUACUCUAUACUCCUCUCUAGCAUAAGUUAGAUAGGGAAAGUUUUUCGGUGUAGGAUGAGGCUAUAUUGUAUCAGCUAGUUGGUGAGGUAAUGGCUCACCAAGGCUAUGACGCAUAACUGGUCUGAGAGGAUGAUCAGUCACACUGGAACUGAGACACGGUCCAGACUCCUACGGGAGGCAGCAGUAGGGAAUAUUGCUCAAUGGGGGAAACCCUGAAGCAGCAACGCCGCGUGGAGGAUGACACUUUUCGGAGCGUAAACUCCUUUUGUUAGGGAAGAACAAUGACGGUACCUAACGAAUAAGCACCGGCUAACUCCGUGCCAGCAGCCGCGGUAAUACGGAGGGUGCAAGCGUUACUCGGAAUCACUGGGCGUAAAGGACGCGUAGGCGGAUUAUCAAGUCUCUUGUGAAAUCCUAUGGCUUAACCAUAGAACUGCUUGGGAAACUGAUAAUCUAGAGUGAGGGAGAGGCAGAUGGAAUUGGUGGUGUAGGGGUAAAAUCCGUAGAGAUCACCAGGAAUACCCAUUGCGAAGGCGAUCUGCUGGAACUCAACUGACGCUAAUGCGUGAAAGCGUGGGGAGCAAACAGG